rnacentral:rRNA from 1 species
UACGUAGGCAGCAAGCGUUGUUCGGAGUUACUGGGCGUAAAGGGUGCGUAGGCGGCCGUGUAAGUGUGGUGUGAAAUCUCCCGGCUUAACUGGGAGGGUGCGCUACAGACUGCAUGGCUAGAGUGUGGGAGAGGAAAGUGGAAUUCCUGGUGUAGCGGUGAAAUGCGUAGAUAUCAGGAGGAACACCGGUGGUGUAAACGGCUUUCUGGACCAUAACUGACGCUGAUGCACGAAAGCGUGGGUAGCAAAAGGG